GUGGGGAAUCUUGCGCAAUGGGCGAAAGCCUGACGCAGCCAUGCCGCGUGAAUGAUGAAGGUCUUAGGAUUGUAAAAUUCUUUCACCGGGGACGAUAAUGACGGUACCCGGAGAAGAAGCUCCGGCUAACUUCGUGCCAGCAGCCGCGGUAAUACGAAGGGGGCUAGCGUUGCUCGGAAUUACUGGUCGUAAAGGGCGCGUAGGCGGACAGUUUAGUCAGAGGUGAAAGCCCAGGGCUCAACCUUGGAAUUGCCUUUGAUACUGACUGUCUUGAGUACGGGAGAGGUGAGUGGAACUCAGAGUGUAGAGGUGAAAUUCGUAGAUAUUCGGAAGAACACCAGUGGCGAAGGCGACUCACUGGCCCGUUACUGACGCUGAGGCGCGAAAGCGUGGGGAGCAAACAGGAUUAGAAACCCUAGUAGUCC
rnacentral:rRNA from 1 species